CCAGGGGGGUUCCCUGAUUCCACAGCACUAGACUCAGCCUCUGGGCCUCAAGUGGUUUGGGGGUUUUGGAAUCUUUCUUCCUAGAGAAGCGGCUUUUGCCCCCCACGCCCUGUAGUCUGGACUCCUGGACCUGCUUCCUUUGCCCACAGCAAACCCCAGACUGAACCCCCUACCUCAUCAAACUUCCAAGUCUACAAACGAGGAACGGGGGCUAAGCAGCUUUGUUCCUACUACUGGGAGGAGAUGCAGGAAGGCAAUGACCUGGAAGACCUUGAGCACUUGCCACCUCCAUCCCUCCUGAGCUGAGGCCCUGACACCCCACUGAUGGGCACGGACACCCCCUGCAACUUCUCCACUGCUGCCCACCGCUGCAUUGUGGGUGGCUUGCCGACUGCAGCAGUCAUCGUCCCGGUCCUGCUCUCCUCAUCCACUCUGCUGGUCAUCAGCUACAUCUUGUGGAAGACAUGCCGCCAGUGGUCUCAGGCUAUCCAUCCCAGCCUGCUGUUCCCAUGAGGUGAAGUCAGUCCCUCCGCCGGGCCAGCAGAGGACGUAAGAGUCUGUGGCUCGAAAUCUGCGAGGCUCUCUGACACGGACGUGACGCCAUAACACCGGAAAUCCGAGGCCUCCGAGACUAAGGGGGUGUGGCGUGAAGUUCGGCGACGGAAGGAAAUGCGGUCGAAGUUUCGCAAGGUGAUAGUAAAGGGUUUGGCUGCUCAUCCCAGAGGUGCAAGGAAGAUGGUUUAAAAUGGAGCAAAGUGGGAACUCCCAUCCUGUUUCCUCCCCCAUCUCUUUACAGCUGGAAUGAGCUGGCUGGGGCAGGUGGUCAUCUCCCCCAUGAGCACAGGUGGACAGAGGUGACACCUUGUGUCCCUCGGACCCGUCAGACUCCAUGGCUGGGUCUACCUUAACCAACCCAUCAGGCCCCCUCCCUCUGCACCCUUUGAAUAUACUACGUUAAAUAAUCUUCUCAAAGGUUCUGUCAUGCUUCUCCUCCAGAAGCAGAAAGGGCUCCUCCUGCCUGCAAAAAUAAGAUUGGACUCCUUGCUUUGUUGUCCAGGACACGCUAUGACCGCACCGCACUGUGAUUUCCUUGAGGACUCAUCUUUGCAUCACCAGGGUCUACCACACAUGGCCACAAAAAAGAUGGAUAUAACAACAAAAGCAAAUAACUGAAAAGAAAUAACUUGAUUGUUCUCACGUAAAUCACAUCAAGUUCUGUGUGUAUCUUUCUCAGAAAAGUAAAUUACAUUCUUGCAGCAAAUGGAACGUUAAACACUUUAAAGGCUCCAGUGAGAAACCUGUUCAAGUUCUGUGCCAGCUGCUGUCACUGUAAUAGCCACAUCGGGCUCUCCCCAGUGAAACCUGCCUCAGACAAGAAGAAAAAGCUUACGGGUCUCUGGUAGCCACUGGAGAGCUCUAACGUCUGAACUCCUUUGCUAAGCAGCCCCCUCACACUGAAGUGGAUAUAGCCUGGGACCUGAGCAGUGUGAAGGAGCCUUUGUCCCGGUGGAGAACUUCCAGUCUGAGGACAUGUAAAUAUCAGGGCCCAUGGCAAUACUCUGUGGCCAACCCAGUCCAAAUAGUGAUUGCCUGAAUAAGCAAAGCCAACCACCACAUACUUGCUUUGCUCUUACUGCCUUGAAGGCCUGCAAGGAGAGUUAAGAUGUAGGUUCUUCUCAAAACCUAUCAGACACCUGUCUCUUUGCCCUUUAUCUUUGGAGUGAAUUCCAAAUCUGCAGUUGUCCCCCCUUUGGGUCAGGCCUUAGGCUGAGUGUUGGGUUCACACAGAGGCCUCUCACCAGUUGUGAGCUGUAGCUCCAGGAAGGGAGGCAAACUCUGACCCCCACCUCACCUCAUACAGCUCACCCUUCUUUAUGACCAGGCAUGGGGGCCUGUGGAGCUGAGACAGAUGAAUUAGAGAAGCUGGGUGCCAGUGGGAGAUGCCCACAUUGUAGCCAAGUCAGAACUGAAGCAGAGGGCAUGGGAUCAUCAGUGUAAGGUGGGGAAGUUUUGUCCCCUGGCCUAGCCCAGGCUGCUUUGUGAAUC